GGCAAGAUGGCCGAGUGGUUAUGGCGUGUGACUCAAGCGCAAGCUUGCCUCGAAAACGAGGUAGUAUUCUCAUGGGCUUUGCCCGCGGGGGUUCGAAUCCCCCUCUUGUCA